AGGCCCGUAGCUCAGUCAGGCAGAGCAGCCCGACCCCCCAUAGGGAAGACCCCGGUUCGAAUCCGGGAGGGCCAC
rnacentral:tRNA from 1 species